UACGUAGGGUGCAAGCGUUAAUCGGAAUUACUGGGCGUAAAGCGUGCGCAGGCGGUGAUGUAAGACAGGUGUGAAAUCCCCGGGCUUAACCUGGGAAUUGCAUUUGUGACUGCAUCGCUGGAGUGCGGCAGAGGGGGAUGGAAUUCCGCGUGUAGCAGUGAAAUGCGUAGAUAUGCGGAGGAACACCGAUGGCGAAGGCAAUCCCCUGGGCCUGCACUGACGCUCAUGCACGAAAGCGUGGGGAGCAAACAGG
rnacentral:rRNA from 1 species